AAUAAAUUUAUAUUGUGAAACUGCGAAUGGCUCAUUAAAUCAGUUAUGAUCUACGUGACAUAUUCUUUACUACUUGGAUAACCGUGGUAAUUCUAGAGCUAAUACAUGCAAAAAAACCCAAACUUACGAAUGGGUGCACUUAUUAGAUAAAGCCAACGCUGGGUAAAACCAGUUUCCCUUGGUGAUUCAUAAUAAUUAAGCGGAUCGCAUGGCCUUGUGCUAGCGACAGUCCACUCGAUUUUCUGCCCUAUCA
rnacentral:rRNA from 1 species